AGCAGCCGCGGUAAUUCCAGCUCCAAUAGCGUAUAUUAAAGUUGUUGCAGUUAAAAGCUCGUAGUUGAAUUUCGGGACCAAUCUGCCGGUCGUGCCUCCGGUACGCACUGGUUUUAUUGGUCUCUCCCUUCUGACGAACCAUGAUGUCAUUAAUUUGGUGUCAUGGGGAAUCAGGACUGUUACUUUGAAAAAAUUAGAGUGUUUAAAGCAGGCUCACGCUUGAAUACAUUAGCAUGGAAUAAUGAAAUAGGACGUUUGAUUCUAUUUUGUUGGUUUCUAGGAUCGACGUAAUGAUUAAUAGGGAUAGUUGGGGGCAUUAGUAUUCAAUUGUCAGAGGUGAAAUUCUUGGAUUUAUUGAAGACUAACUACUGCGAAAGCAUUUGCCAAGGAUGUUUUCAUUAAUCAAGAACGAAAGUUAGGGGAUCGAAGACGAUCAGAUACCGUCGUAGUCUUAACCAUAAACUAUGCCGACUAGGGAUCGGAUGAUGUUAAUUUUUUAAUGACUCAUUCGGCGCCUUAC
rnacentral:rRNA from 1 species